UAGGGAAUCUUCGGCAAUGGACGAAAGUCUGACCGAGCAACGCCGCGUGAGUGAAGAAGGCUUUCGGAUCGUAAAACUCUGUUGUUAGAGAAGAACAAGGACGUUAGUAACUGAACGUCCCCUGACGGUAUCUAACCAGAAAGCCACGGCUAACUACGUGCCAGCAGCCGCGGUAAUACGUAGGUGGCAAGCGUUGUCUGGAUUUAUUGGGCGUAAAGCGAGCGCAGGCGGUUUCUUAAGUCUGAUGUGAAAGCCCCCGGCUCAACCGGGGAGGGUCAUUGGAAACUGUGAUACUUAAGUGCAGAAGAGGGGAGUGGAAUUCCAUGUGUAGCGGUGAAAUGCGUAGAUAUAUAGAGGAACUCCAGUGGCGAAGGCGGCUCUCUGGUCUGUAACUGACGCUGAAGCUCGAAAGCGUGGGGAGCAAACAGG
rnacentral:rRNA from 1 species